GGUGGGGUGGCCGAGUGGUUUAAGGCGGCAGUUUUGAAAACUGCUAUAUCCGAAAGGGUAUCGUGAGUUCGAAUCUCACCCCCACCG
rfam:Parcubacteria bacterium GW2011_GWA1_48_11b TY24_C0009, whole genome shotgun sequence.